AUGGAACCACCGGAUCCACCACGAAAAAGGGAUCUGCCAUGUGGACAAGGUGGUGGUGACGGACAGAACAAAAAGCCACCAUCCAGUGGCAAAAUGGAAGGAUCCAUCGAUGGCGACGCUACUGGUGGCGACGACACUCCACUCGGCGCCCCCAAUGCAUCGGACGCGGCUGCGAAGAACCGGAGAUGGUCAGCCGUGCUGGCCGGAAAAGGAUACGGGGCUCGUUUAAUAGUGUUCUCGCUGUUAGCCGGUGGUACAUAUUUUGGCCCCAGACAGUCGUACACGUCGAUCAAUUGGGAGCUGCUAGCGUGUGUCCUAUGCAAUCAUGGGACUGGCGAGUACGACCUAGCCGACUGGGUAUUUGAGAUCAUCAGAGCAGCUGUGAAAAAAAUACAUAAAGAUCUAGCAGCUGGGGUCAGAACUCUAAUUGUAGGAGGCUGCCAUUUGGCUCUCAUUCCAUGGUUCUUCGACUGGAUGGACUUUGGGCCAGAUAGUGUAGAGCCAUACACUCUCCCCCGUAUCAGCGUUUACACCGGGCAGGUGUUCAGGAGGCUAAUCUACCUUACAAGAGAGUACCCAACUAUAUUCCCUACAAGGCCUUCUGAUGCAUUCAACCAGGAUAACAAUGUCUGGCAUGCUGUGGUUGGGGGUCCUGGAGGAAUCCUGCGACAUCCGGGUAAGAGAGGCAACAACAUUAGUCAUGCAUAA
rnacentral:rRNA from 1 species